CGAGCGGGGUUACUGCGACAGAUCCCUUCGGGGUGACGUUGCUUUAACCUAGCGGCGGACGGGUGAGUAACGCGUGGGUAACCUACCCUAAAGCUCGGGAUAACAGUGGGAAACCGCUGCUAAUACCGGAUGACUUUAACCUAUGGCAUCAUGGGUUAAAGAAAGAUUUAUCGCUUAGGAUGGGCCCGCGUCCCAUUAGCUAGUUGGUGAGGUAACGGCUCACCAAGGCGACGAUGGGUAGCCGGCCUGAGAGGGUGUACGGCCACACUGGGACUGAGACACGGCCCAGACUCCUACGGGAGGCAGCAGUAGGGAAUAUUGCGCAAUGGACGGAAGUCUGACGCAGCGACGCCGCGUGAGCGAUGAAGGCCUUCGGGUCGUAAAGCUCUGUCC
rnacentral:rRNA from 1 species